CGGUUUAGUCGCCAUCUCGACGGCGACGACGUCGAGACUUGACCAGAAGCGCCAGCGCCACGACCUCCACCUACCCACCGCCUCCAGCACCACGACCUACACCUGCAAGGUGCAUCUCGACGCCGACGAAGGGGACGACCGUUCCAGACAACUGAUGAGCAUCCUCCUGUCAUUCCGAGACCGGCGACCACCCAGACAACGAGCCCUCGCCGCCCGCGUCCCCCAUACCGCCAACGAGCCACUUCGAUCAGACGACCUCAUCUGCUUCACUCCGGCACGACUGCUCAGGCUGCAGAUCACCGGCAUUCGAUCACCCAUACGACAACAACUCGGACCAGUGACCAGCGAUCGUCGACUCCGGAUUCGUCUGCAGACUCCAACGUCUAAGGAAGCGUCAAAUUCCGACGACUCCACCUGCCGGAUUCUUCGUCAGUCUCCGCUGUCCUCCAGCGCUCAACGCCGAAGACGAACCGGAUUAGCACACCUGGCCCAGACCUGAAGCAGGCGACACUGAUCGUGGCG
rnacentral:lncRNA from 1 species